rnacentral:rRNA from 1 species
GUGUAAGGUGUGAACGCGGUAGCCGUAGGAUGCGAACGGGUGAGUAAUACAUCGGAACAUGUCCUGUAGUGGGGGAUAGCCCGGCGAAAGCCGGAUUAAUACCGCAUACGAUCUACGGAUGAAAGCGGGGGACCUUCGGGCCUCGCGCUAUAGGGUUGGCCGAUGGCUGAUUAGCUAGUUGGUGGGGUAAAGGCCUACCAAGGCGACGAUCAAUAGCUGGUCUGAGAGGACGACCAGCCACACUGGGACUGAGACACGGCCCAGACUCCUACGGGAGGCAGCAGUGGGGAAUUUUGGACAAUGGGCGAAAGCCUGAUCCAUCAAUGCCGCGUGUGUGAAGAAGGCCUUCGGGUUGUAAAGCACUUUUGUCCGGAAAGAAAUCCUUGGCUCUAAUACAAUCGGGGGAUGACGGUACCGGAAGAAUAAGCACCGGCUAACUACGUGCCAGCAGCCGCGGUAAUACGUAGGGUGCGAGCGUUAAUCGGAAUUACUGGGCGUAAAGCGUGCGCACGCGGUUUGUUAAGACCGAUGUGAAAUCCCCGGGCUCAACCUGGGAACUGCAUUUGUGACUGGCAGGCUAGAGUAUGGCAGAGGGGGGUAGAAUUCCACGUGUAGCAGUGAAAUGCGUAGAGAUGUGGAGGAAUACCGAUGGCGAA